AUUGAACGCUGGCGGCAGGCUUAACACAUGCAAGUCGAGCGGAGAUGAGGUGCUUGCACCUUAUCUUAGCGGCGGACGGGUGAGUAAUGCUUAGGAAUCUGCCAUUUAGUGGGGGACAACAUUCCGAAAGGAAUGCUAAUACCGCAUACGUCCUACGGGAGAAAGCAGGGGAUCUUCGGACCUUGCGCUAAAUGAUGAGCCUAAGUCGGAUUAGCUAGUUGGUGGGGUAAAGGCCUACCAAGGCGACGAUCUGUAGCGGGUCUGAGAGGAUGAUCCGCCACACUGGGACUGAGACACGGCCCAGACUCCUACGGGAGGCAGCAGUGGGGAAUAUUGGACAAUGGGCGGAAGCCUGAUCCAGCCAUGCCGCGUGUGUGGAGAAGGCCUUUUGGUUGUAAAGCACUUUAAGCGAGGAGGAGGCUACUAGUACUAAUACUACUGGAUAGUGGACGUUACUCGCAGAAUAAGCACCGGCUAACUCUGUGCCAGCCGCCGCCGUAACAC
rnacentral:rRNA from 1 species